rnacentral:guide_RNA from 1 species
GAUAUAUAAACAACAAUAAAUUAACAGAGCAGAAAAAUGGGAAAAAGAUGAAG